rnacentral:rRNA from 1 species
GGGUAACGGGGAAUCAGGGUUCGAUUCCGGAGAGGGAGCCCGAGAAACGGCUACCACUUCCAAGGAAGGCAGCAGGCGCGCAACUUACCCUAAUCUCGAUUCGAGGAGGUAGUGACAAGAAAUACCGAUGCGGGACCCUACGGGUGCCGCGUUCGGAAUGAGUACGAUUCGAACCACCUAACGAGGAACGAUCGGAGGGCAAGUCUGGUGCCAGCAGCCGCGGUAAUUCCAGCUCCAAUAGCGUACGUUAAAGUUGCUGCAGUUAAAAAAGCUCGUAGUUGAACGUUCGGGUUCCGCGGGACGGGGCCGCCCCGCGAGGGACGGCGCCGCCCCGGGGCUCGUGAUAUCUUAUCUCGCCGCCCGUCGCGAGGCGGACGGAGGGAUGGAUGAGGUUACCUGGAAAAAAUCGGGGCGAUCUAGGCGGGCGAACCUCGCCAACGAACGAUCGGACAUGGGAU